CGUGUAGGCGGCCAAACAGGUCCGUUGUGGAAACUGGAGGCUCAACCUCCAGACGUCGACGGAAACCGUAUGGCUAGAGUCCGGAAGAGGAGAGUGGAAUUCCUGGUGUAGCGGUGAAAUGCGCAGAUAUCAGGAAGAACACCUAUGGCGAAGGCAGCUCUCUGGGACGGUACUGACGCUGAGACGCGAAAGCGUGGGGAGCGAACA
rnacentral:rRNA from 1 species